AACGAACGCUGGCGGCAUGCCUAACACAUGCAAGUCGAACGAGACCUUCGGGUCUAGUGGCGCACGGGUGCGUAACGCGUGGGAACCUGCCCUUAGGUUCGGAAUAACUCCCCGAAAGGGGUGCUAAUACGGGAUAAUGUCUUCGGACCAAAGAUUUAUCGCCUUUGGAUGGACCCGCGUUGGAUUAGCUAGUUGGUAGGGUAAAAGCCUACUAAGGCGACGAUCCAUAGCUGGUCUGAGAGGAUGAUCAGCCACACUGGGACUGAGACACGGCCCAGACUCCUACGGGAGGCAGCAGUGGGGAAUAUUGGACAGUGGGCGAAGGCCUGAUCCAGCAAUGCCGCGUGAGUGAUGAAGGCCUUAGGGUUGUAAAGCUCUUUUACCCGGGAUGAUAAUGACAGUACCGGGAGAAUAAGCUCCGGCUAACUCCGUG
rnacentral:rRNA from 1 species